GACGAACGCUGGCGGCGUGCUUAACACAUGCAAGUCGAACGGGCCCGCUCUCUUUUUUGGGGGUGGGUUGAGUGGCGAACGGGUGAGUAUCACGUGAGUAACCUGCCCCCUGCUCCUGGAUAACUGCUUGAAAGGGCGGCUAAUACGGGGUGUGCCGGCUGGUCCGCAUGGGCCUGGUCGGGAUAGUUUCAUCUUCGGGUGUUUCGGUGGGGGAUGGGCUCGCGGCCUAUCAGCUUGUUGGUGGGGUGAUGGCCCACCAAGGCGGUGACGGGUAGCCGGCCUGAGAGGGUGGGCGGCCACACUGGGACUGAGACACGGCCCAGACGCCUGCGGGAGGCAGCAGUGGGGGGUAUUGCACAAUGGGCGGAAGCCUGAUGCAGCGACGUCGCGUGAGGGAUGGAGGCCUUCGGGUGGUGAACCUCUUUCUCCGGUGGUGAAGGCCCUGUCCGUUGCGGCGGGGUUGACGGUAGCCGGGGAUGAAGCGCCGGCUAACUACGUG
rnacentral:rRNA from 1 species